UCUAAACUCGUGAAGUACUGUUCGGUGG
rnacentral:piRNA from 1 species